CAACUCCUACCGUGAAAGAGUGAAGCAAAAGAAGAAUCAUUUGCAUCUCAAAGUCCAGAUCAAAGGUAUCUCUCUAAAACGAAUUAUAGGAAUUAGGAAAAAGAAGAAUCACUUAUGGUUGACCGUACGUAAUUAUAAAGAUCCUAGAAUUAGACUAGAAAAAUAAAAGGAAAAAGAGUACUGUACGUACAACAAAGCAAGCAGAGAAGAAAGAAAUUUGUGUUGAGAAAAAGAACGAUCGAGAGUGACUCGGCAACCUCCACUAGACACUCAAUUGUUAUCUCUCUGUCAAAAAAACAAAAUUUGAUUCCACGUUUCAUUGACUGCCUAAAAGAAAUCAAAAUCAUAUAACUUGCGCGCACAAGAUUUGUAACUUUCCUCUCUGUCUCGACCGUUUCUUGAUUUUUCUAAAAAAAAACCACUUCAGCAAAAUGUACACAUUCAAUUUCGAAGUCUUGAUUUCAUAUCGAUCUCACGUGUAUGCACAUAUAAUCUAAGAAACAGAGAUAGCUCGUUAUCAAUUGCAUAAGAAGUAACACAUCAAAUUAAACUACAAACAUUUAAGACUAAAAAAACAAAAAAACAAAAAAAGGAAAGAAAGAAGAGGAAAUAAUUACUUAAAGGCGGUAUAACAUGUGACCAUCUUCUUCUAUAUAUAUAUAUAUAUAUAUAUAUGGCAACUCCUUACCAGCUGAUACUUAUAUAUAUAUAUAUAAUCUCCCUCAUCUUCAGAUGCUUACAUGGCAACGCGUUGCCAGCUGAUACUUAACGACGUUGUCACCAACCAUAAUUCCACUAGUUCUGCUACCAAACUGAAUAUAAGCAGGACACCUAACAUGCAAAUUGUAUUUCGCAGAGAUAAAGGUUCCGACUUUGAAUCGAACUCGACCAUCAAUCUUGAUCAUCAGCAUCACAACUCCAGCACCUUGGUCUUGACUUAAUGCAGCUGAAUUGUACGGAGAUACCGGCACGGAGUUGCCGUAAAUAAAAGGGGACCAAACAUUAGUCUCUUUGUGUCCUUGGUAAGAAGUAGGUAUGGAAGUUCGUAGAGUUAUUUGUUGGUCACGGUAUGUGCCAUAAAUAUCGAGUCUAUCAUAGUAGAUUCCGACUCUAUCAUCCGGGUUGCGAGAGGAUACGGUGACUUGGAAGUUGGAAGUGAGGAAAUUUGGAUAUGAAACGUUAAAGGCGUAAACCGUAGCAUCUUGGAGGAUGAAUUUUGGUUUUGAAGGACGGAGGAUGGCCCAAACUAUGAGGAUUACGAUGAGGGCAAUGAGGAGGAAGGUUAGGAUUACGGCGAAUAACAGGCGGACGAAUCUUCGGCGUUUGUGGCCGUGGUUGCCGCAGUCUUUCUUGGGUGUCAUGUUGGAGGAGUUGGUGGUGGAGAAGUGGAGAAAAGAGUAGCUUUGUGAGGAAGAUUCUCCGAGGGAAGUGUGGAGUUAUUAAGAGUUCGAGGGAGUGAGUGAGAGAGAGGAUUUUGGGGUUCUUUGCUUAAUGCGGGGGUUGUAUUGACGGUGCCGUGAGAUAAACGCGUUGUGUUAUGGGUGUGUAUUAAGGUCUUGUAAUAAGAUGUGAAAUGGUGAUUAGUGCUUUUAUUUUCUUCAGUUUGUGUGGUAGUGGUAGGACUUGGGAAGGUUCUAGCUUAAAGUUUAAUGUGAUUAUUGGGAUUUAAUUGUUAAAUUGAAAUAUAAGCAAAGAGAAUACUUGUAUUAGCUCCGUAUUUGUAAUUAACGUUGUGGCCAAUUUAUUUGAGGCUUUUUUAGCACAUAAUGAUGAGUAAUUUAAUAACUUUUACUUUUGAAAAUUCUAUGUAUACAUGAGCCUAUGAGAAAAACUUAUGUAUAUGAUAAUGUUUUUUUUCUUUCCCUUUUUCUUUUGAGUGUAUGUCAUUGUAUUAGAAAAUUUCAUAUUUGCUAUAUUUUGGCUAACAAAAAAUUGUUAUUCUUAAACAUAUUACAAAUUAUAAAUUACCAAAAAAAAACUCUAAAAUUUGUUUUGUAUUAUUUUUUAUUAGGUUAUCACGAUCUUAACAAAACAUUUUAAUAUUGGAUUGGUUCUUGAUUUGAUAUAUAUAAAAAAUGUUGCUGGUUGUUGGUGAAUAAUUAAAAAUACAGAGAUCAAAACUAAAAAUAAGGUGAAAUGAUAGUUCUUUAUUUAAAGAAAAAAAUUCGGUCCUUUAUUUAUUUUAAUCAGCCAAUUAAAUAUUUUAUUUUCAAUUUUAUCAUUUUAUAUUGAAUUUGAUUGGUAAUUCAGAUUGAUGAUUUGUUAAUUUCAUGUUGUUUUCUAUCAAUUUAUCGUGGUUUCAAGAAAUAUAUUAUCAAUGGGUUGGUUCUUGAUUUUGCAAAAAAAAAAAAAUAACUUAAUUUUGUUGUUUGCAAAAAAUAAAAGAUAAGGGACCAAAAUUAAAAGUUUGGUAAAAUAGAAGGCCUUUCUUUUUUAAAAAAGUGUCAAUGACUUUUUUUUAAAUAUGCUUAUGUUUUUGUCCAUUUUUUUAUUCUUUAGUUAGGAAAUUAUAGUAUUUGGUCUAAGAUCCAAUUGGAUCCAUAAGUCGAAUUAUAAGUUUGAUAAUUUAACUUAAAUUGAUUAAAGUUUUUUUUAUAACAAUGUUUGAAAAAAAAGGGUUUCAUCUUGAGUUUUUUUUAAAGUCAAAUCAGGUUUUUACUCGUCAUCUAAUUUAUUUCAGAUCCUUUUCCACAUAGUUUAAUUAAAAAUACAAGCUAGACAAAGAGUUGGGUAAAGAAAUUUCAAUAUUGUUCUAUAUAAAUGGAUCUAGUGACAUCGCUAAAGAACUCCCUGUUGCAAUACAUGAGCGUUGUAUUUUUUUUAUGGCUUUUAUGUAGAUUUUAUUUUAAUUAAAGUUUGUUUUUAAAAUAAUUAAAAAUAUAGUUUUAAAAACAAAUAUUUCAGUGAAUAAAUAAUUCAAACCUGCUAUGUGAGGAAAAUAUUUGCCUUUUUCUAUCAUAUUUAAUAUUAGCAUCAAAUUUUAAUUUUAUAAUUAAUAGUUUUCUUGUCAUUAGAAACACAAUAAUAACAUUUAUAUAUUUUUUUUUCUUUGAUUUUUUUAAAAAACUUCAAUUUUAACUCAUAUUGGAACACAGGUUAGGCAUGUAGUAACAUGGUAUUGUUUGUUUUGGUGUUUAAAAUUAUAUUUGAAAGUAUUUUAAAAAUAUAUUCAACUUGAAAACAUAUUAAUUGAUGUGUUUAUAGUAUUUUAAAAUGAUUUUAAUAUAUUAAUAUUAAAAAUAAAAAAUAAAUCUGAAAAGAAUAUUUUCAAAUAAAAUUUAUUUUUUAAAAAAUAUCAUAUACAGUAGUACCAAACAAAGAGUGAAAUAAUUGCCCUGGCCAGGACUAAAAAUUAAUUGUAUUAAAUAAGUAGGCAGGGCUGGGUAAUUACGUACUGUCUUCCUUGAGACAGGCAUCAAUCCCUGUCAAGCGGAUGCCGAAGAAAAGUCAUAGUACACACCAGCGCUCCCCUUUCAUUAAAUAUCUUUUCUACUUUUCAAGCUUAUAUUUAAGGGCUAGAGUAAUUAAUUCUUACUAAUUAGCCAUGUAUAUAUAUUUAUUUACGCAAUUAAAUGUGUCCUCGGAGGUCAUAUUCAUGGGAACAAUUAAGCAGAUUGGUGCCUUUUCAUUUAUGUUUGAAUAUAAAUAACGUUUAUAUAUAUAUAUAUAUCCUAAGAUCAUUUUAUGGCCAGCGUUUUCCUAAAGUUGGGGCCAAUAAUGCAAGGACCUCAAGCCCUUUGGCUGUGCUUUCACAAAGGGAAGCUGCUCUUUGUGCUAAUCGAACUUUAGAAAGACAAAAAGGCAGCAAAAGAACCCGUCAAGCAAGUAAAACUUGAACAGAUGGACUUCCAUUAAUUCGAGAGUUCUUAGAAUAAUGAUUUCAUGUAUUAUUUGUGACACAUGUACCCUUGUAUAAUACUUGGCUACUUGUUUUAAGGUCUCAAUUUGAUCAUGUGCAUGCUUUUAUCAACGUUUGGACUAUAGAUUAAGCAAGUUUCUCAUGAUUAAUCAAGGUUAGAUAUAUAGAAAUGAUAACAUUUGGACUCUAAAUUAUGCUUGAGAUUUCAUACAAACUAAUGAAAAUACCAACAUGUUAAAAGCUCAAAUACCAUCUAAUUUAUUAAAAAUAAUAAAUUUAACAUAGAUGGAUUAUCAUAUUGUGUUGAAAUUCUGAUAUAGAAUAUUUUGGUAAAGAAAAAAACAUAUCCUUCUUAUGAUAAUAUGGACAUAAAUUUUAAUCUAUCUAUUUAAUUCUAGACGUCAUGUUCCUUAUAAUGUCUGGUUUUUGUAACUAUCCGCUAUCAAUAAAGCUUCUAAAUUAAAACUAUAUAUUAUUGUUUUAGGUUGUUGUGUGGUUUUUUAAGGAUAUUUAUGAAUUUAACAAGGUAUUUAGAUAUUUUUUUCAGGUGUUAUAAGUAAAGAAUAAGUUAAUAAAAAGAUUUUUAGAAAAAAAAUAUAAAAUUGUUUUUUAUUUAUAAUAAUAACUAAAAUUAAGAGAAAACUAAAAGAUGCAUCAAUCAAUAUUUUUUUAAAAAAUAUUAUUGUACAUCCCAAUUGCAUUUAAAAGAAAAAUAGGGCCAUCUUUCUAAUUGCAUUAGGCCUCUUUCUUUUAUCUUUUUAUAAUUUGUUUUAUUUUAAUUUAAAAUAAUCUUAUAAUUUAUAUUUAAAGUAAUUCAUUUUCUCUUUGGGUUUUUUAUUUUUUGUAUUUAUUUAUUUUUAAAUAAUGACUGAUUUUUAAUUAUUUUAUAGAUAUUUGAAGAAAUUAUUCUAAUUUAUCUAUAUUUUUUUAUAAAAUUAAAAUUUAUUUUUAAAUAAUGCUUCAUAAUCAGAACUUCUUCCACGCAUUCAUCCAGUUUCCUGCACCCUACUUCUGGGCAAUUACCUACCUUCGGAAAUAUAUCUGUGUUAUCGGAUAGAUUAUUAUUUUUUUCAUAAAAAGUCAUCUCUACAAGUGUGCUUAUAUUUGUGAUUGAUGUGAUUUGUCUUUAAUUUAUUUUUUUUAAAAGGGAAAAGAAAGAAGGUCGAAGAUUCCUUUUCACUACUCGUUAAGGUUUCUGUUUUUAAACCGGAGAAAGAAACCUGAUAUCCUUUUCUCUCUCUCUUUUUUUUUUGGUAAAAAAGUAUCGAGCUUGUGUUAUGUAAAAUUUAAUUCGUCCACCAAAAAAGAAAAAGAAAGAAAUGUACAAUUACUAGCUUGCUGACGGGCCAUGCAGUUCCUCUGUUUUGUCAAUUUCUUCGAAUUAUCAGCACUGCUAACAAGCAUGAUCAUCCCUUGUGUAAAUCUCACGGCUCGUAUCAUUUCUCAUAUUGCUAUCAUUAAUUAUUAGAUACAAACAACUUUUUGACGUUGGAAAGAACAAGAAACCGAUCGAUUUAGAGUGCCGUCACCGUAAUAAUGUAAGGGCAAGAUAGAGGAAGACCCUUUACUAGCAUCCGUUCGGUAGAGACUUAACUUCUCUUUCUCGAACCCUUCCCUGUGCCCAUGGUAGGCCACUCCAUUGAAGAAUAUCGUUUCUUGAUCUCCUCCCAUCCAUUCGUUACUUUGCCGUAUUUCUCUUCGGCCGAUUUGGCUGGUUAAGAUUCAUGGCUAUUCUACUAUUCUGAAGGCCCUGAUAUGAUUCUACCUGAUCGAAUUUUGCUAUUUUUUCAAUGGCCUCGCAUGAUAAAUUUUACUAUACGCCAGAUAAUAUACCUAAUUAUCUAUAUUUUGUUUUUUUAUUAUUAAAAAGGAAAGCAUAAGAGUUGCUUGGUAACAUGUAAAGGGUAAGUGAUUUGGGUGGUUUUCUCCUCUGCCACGACCAACGAAGUUGAUGUAAAACAAUGCCCAAAACAAACAGUGUACCCAUCUGCACUUCACACAUAUCAGGUACAUGUAGAGUACGAGCUCGGAGUCACAAGUAAACCCACUUUCUCAAAUUAAUGCAACAGUUUCGUCACAACACGGCGUGGUGGCUCCUCCUACCAUAGCAACUCCUACCGUGAAAGAGUGAAGCAAAAGAAGAAUCAUUUGCAUCUCAAAGUCCAGAUCAAAGGUAUCUCUCUAAAACGAAUUAUAGGAAUUAGGAAAAAGAUGAUAGAAGAAUCACUUAUGGUUGACCGUACGUAAUUAUAAAGAUCCUAGAAUUAGACUAGAAAAAAGAGAGGAAAAAAGAGUAUACGGACAACAAAGCAAGCAGAGCAAGAAUGAAAUUUGUGUUGAGAAAAAGAACGAUCGAGAGUGACUCGGCAACCUCCACUAGACACUCAAUUGUUAUCUCUCUGUCAAAAAAACAAAUUUUGAUUCCACGUUUCAUUGACUGCCUAAAAGAAAUCAAAAUCAUAUAACUUGCGCGCACAAGAUUUGUAACUUUCCUCUCUGUCUCGACCGUUUCAUGAUUUUUUCAAAAAAAAAACCACUUCAGCAAAAUGUACACUUUCAAUUUCGAAGUCUUGAUUUCAUAUCGAUCUCACGUGUAUGCACAUAUAAUCUAAGAAACAGAGAUAGCUCGUUAUCAAUUGCAUAAGAAGUAACACAUCAAAUUAAACUACAAACAUUGAAGACUAAAAAAACAAAAAAAAAGAAAAGAAAGAAAGAAGAAGAAAUAAUUACUUAAAGGCGGUAUAACAUGUGACCAUCUUCUUCUAUAUAUAUAUAUAUAUAUAUGGCAACUCCUUACCAGCUGAUACCUUAUAUAUAUAUAUAUAUAAUCUCCCUCAUCUUCAGAUGCUUACAUGACAACGCGUUGCCAGCUGAUACUUAACGACGUUGUCACCAACCAUAAUUCCACUAGUUCUGCUACCAAACUGAAUAUAAGCAGGACACCUAACAUGCAAAUUGUAUUUCGCAGAGAUAAAGGUUCCGACUUUGAAUCGAACUCGACCAUCAAUCUUGAUCAUCAGCAUCACAACUCCAGCACCUUGGUCUUGACUUAAUGCAGCUGAAUUGUACGGAGAUACCGGCACGGAGUUGCCGUAAAUAAAAGGAGACCAAACAUUAGUCUCUUCGUGUCCUUGGUAAGAAGUAGGUAUGGAAGUUCGUAGAGUUAUUUGUUGGUCACGGUAUGUGCCAUAAAUAUCGAGUCUAUCAUAGUAGAUUCCGACUCUAUCAUCCGGGUUGCGAGAGGAUACGGUGACUUGGAAGUUGGAAGUGAUGAAAUUUGGAUAUGAAACGUUAAAGGCGUAAACCGUAGCAUCUUGGAGGAUGAAUUUUGGUUUUGAAGGACGGAGGAUGGCCCAAACUAUGAGGAUUACGAUGAGGGCAAUGAGGAGGAAGGUUAGGAUUACGGCGAAUAACAGGCGGACGAGUCUUGGGCGUGUGUGGCCGUGGUUGCCGCUGUCUUUCUUGGAUGUCAUGUUGGAGGAGUUGGCGGUGGAGAAGUGGAGAGAAAGAGAGUAGCUUUGUGAGGAAGAUUCUCCGAGGGAAGUGUGGAGUUAUUAAGAGUUCGAGGGAGUGAGUGAGAGAGAGGAUUUUGGGGUUCUUUGCUUAAUGCGGGGGUUGUAUUGACGGUGCCGUGAGAUAAACGCGUUGUGUUAUGGGUGUGUAUUAAGGUCUUGUAAUAAGAUGUGAAAUGGUGAUUAGUGCUUUUAUUUUCUUCAGUUUGUGCGGUAGUGGUAGGACUUGGGAGGGUUCUAGCUUAAAGUUUUAUGUGAUUAAUGGGAUUUAAUUGUUAAAUUGGAGGAUACUUGUAUUAGGUCCCUUUUUGUAAUUAACGUUGUGACCAAUUUAUUUGAG
rnacentral:lncRNA from 1 species